rnacentral:tRNA from 1 species
GCCUAGUUAGCUUGGUUGGUAGCGCGUCUGCCUUGUAAGCGCUAGGCCGCGGGUUCGAUUCCCGCCCGGGCA